GGGAGUGUAAGUGGAAAAAAGGGGAGUGGGAAAAUCAGCUACCUUUUUUUUUUAUUGCAUCUAAUAUGUAUCUAUUUUAUGUUAGUUCUUACUAGAAAUUAGUCAAUGUAGCUAUGAAUUGCAUGGUUUAUAUGAUUUAGCUCAUUUGGUACACCGUAUUAAACUAUGGAUAGGAGUAAAUAGUCCAUGUCAAGUGUUUAGUGUUAACUUGUAUUAUUUAAUUACCUGACAAUUUUAAACGGGUUGGGCUUUUAAUACUCUCCUUACCUGACUAACUAAUACAAUCCACAUACCUCGGUUUAGAUCAUACAUGCUUAAUUAUAUAGUUAGGGAAAAAGAACACACAUGUUCACGUGAAAAAUCUGACGACACUAUUUUCAUUUUCUUCUCCUUGGGGUUCUUCUCUGCUAUCUUCUCCAAGGUUAUUCUCUUCACUCUUCUCCAGGUAUUAAUCUCUCUCUUUCCAAUAUAUUUUUUGUCUCUUCUUCUGGCUUCAUCUUCUCUUUCUUUAUAUAUUUCAUCUUUUAUUAAAUUUUGUGGAAAUUAGGUUAUGAGUUUUUUAUUUUUGACAUUUUUUCUUCUUGUAUUGGAACAAUACAUGCGGCUAUGUAUCCAACUCUAUAAUCAAAUAAUCAAAUUAUCAUCAUCUGGCUGUGUAUCCAACUCAAGACAUGCCGCUGAGUUUUUCUUGCAUUUUUUUCUUUAUAUAUUUCAUCCUCUCCAUCUAUCAAACUCAAUAAUCAAAUUAUCAUCCCAAGUCUGCGAUUAGAACAAUACAUACGGAUGUUUUCUUGCUGUAUUUUUUUCUUCUACUUUUGGUGCUUUGUUUUU
rnacentral:lncRNA from 1 species